rnacentral:rRNA from 1 species
GCGGCGGAUGGGUGAGUAACACGUGGGCAACCUGCCUGUAAGAUCGGGAUAACACCGGGAAACCGGCGCUAAUACCGGAUAAUUCUUCGUGCCACAUGGUAUGAAGGUAAAAGACGGCUUCUGCUGUCACUUACAGAUGGGCCCGUGGCGCAUUAGCUAGUUGGUGGGAUAAAAGCCUACCAAGGCGACGAUGCGUAGCCGACCUGAGAGGGUGAUCGGCCACACUGGGACUGAGACACGGCCCAGACUCCUACGGGAGGCAGCAGUAGGGAAUCUUCCGCAAUGGACGAAAGUCUGACGGAGCAACGCCGCGUGAGUGAUGAAGGUUUUCGGAUCGUAAAACUCUGUUGUUAGGGAAGAACACGUAUCGUUCGAAUAGGGCGGUACCUUGACGGUACCUAACCAGAAAGCCCCGGUUAACUACGUGCCAGCAGCCGCGGUAAUACGUAGGGGGCAAGCGUUGUCCGGAAUUAUUGGGCGUAAAGCGCGCGCAGGCGGUCUUUUAAGUCUGAUGUGAAAGCCCACG